GACGAACGGGGCGGCGUGCCUAAUACAUGCAAGUAGAACGCUGAAGGAGGAGCUUGCUUCUCUGGAUGAGUUGCGAACGGGUGAGUAACGCGUAGGUAACCUGCCUGGUAGCGGGGGAUAACUAUUGGAAACGAUAGCUAAUACCGCAUAAGAGUAGAUGUUGCAUGACAUUUACUUAAAAGGUGCAAUUGCAUCACUACCAGAUGGACCUGCGUUGUAUUAGCUAGUUGGUGGGGUAACGGCUCACCAAGGCGACGAUACAUAGCCGACCUGAGAGGGUGAUCGGCCACACUGGGACUGAGACACGGCCCAGACUCCUACGGGAGGCAGCAGUAGGGAAUCUUCGGCAAUGGACGGAAGUCUGACCGAGCAACGCCGCGUGAGUGAAGAAGGUUUUCGGAUCGUAAAGCUCUGUUGUAAGAGAAGAACGAGUGUGAGAGUGGAAAGUUCACACUGUGACGGUAUCUUACCAGAAAGGGACGGCUAACUACGUGCCAGCAGCCGCGGUAAUACGUAGGUCCCGAGCGUUGUCCGGAUUUAUUGGGCGUAAAGCGAGCGCAGGCGGUUAGAUAAGUCUAAAGUUAAAGGCUGUGGCUUAACCAUAGUACGCUUUGGAAACUGUUUAACUUGAGUGCAAGAGGGGAGAGUGGAAUUCCAUGUGUAGCGGUGAAAUGCGUAGAUAUAUGGAGGAACACCGGUGGCGAAAGCGGCUCUCUGGCUUGUAACUGACGCUGAGGCUCGAAAGCGUGGGGAGCAAACAGG
rnacentral:rRNA from 1 species